AGAAGACAGUCCAGUUCAUCAAUCGGGUGUAUUUUCGCUGCACUAGACCGCUCGGAAGCGCCUAAAUUCGUCGGCAUUCUUCAGUCUAUCGCCUGGUCUAUCGCCUGUGCAAGAAGCCACUGUUUACCGUUGUCCCGUUCGUUGUUAUUUCCCGUUCUUUCAGUGACUCUCGUUACACAGACUAAUAAGUUCCCCCACAGCGGCCAUUCACUUCGCCUGCCUUCGACACACUUCGACGGGCUUGAAACGGGGAUCGAUCGAUCGAACGAGCCCCGACGAUUCUUCGCCUUAUGGGCGAACGGCGCCGCUGAUUCGUGAUAAGUGACACCUAUGAUUUGACACUGCCGCCAUUGAGGGCAUACCCAACCUAAUCCGGAUCCCCCGGGAAGACCCGUUCCGGAGAGCGAACCGCGCGCAAUCGAAACCCCGUCCAGCGGCGUGGCCCCGGCGAACGUAGAUCCGGUUCGAUGAGCUACCGGGCCUAAUGGGCCCCGCGUCCGAGGCCCGCCAUCUAACUCAUAAUAAAACCCACACACAUCCACACAGAGACAGAUAGCCAACGGUAUCGUUAAGUAAUGUGUAAUGUUUUUUGAUCCGCGUCAUGUUUCGUUGAGGAUAGUUCAUUUCCGAUGCACCCACUGUUUGCGUUGCAUUCUUGCAUUCGGUCGAAGCCCUGCUCACGAGAACCGCAGCCGGAACGCGAUUGAAGAAUCGAACCAACGCCGCCACUCAGGUGCUGGCGCGGCCGACAUGCGAGCCUAGUACGCGUGGGAGUAGGGUAUUGGGCAACCGUGGAUCGCCGAGAAUCGGCGCGGGCAGCACGACAACGGCCGCACCGCACACAAGUUGAAUAAUUGGACAACGUAGAGGAAUGCGUGAAGCUAGAGGGGAUGUACCACAGGAAGAUUCGUCAUAGUUGCGCCAUCGGGCAUCGCGACGCGACUGGCGGCGAAUAAAGCCGAAUCGGCGGGAGAUCUUAACGAAAACAAAAUCUAAAACAAAAACUAACACAGCAUAGCAAAACCCAUAAAUGAUACCGCGCGGCAAGACUUUUCCGGAUCGAACGAAGCAAAAUAGUACACACUCGGUAGGAGUCAGCCGCUUGGCGCUGCAACGAGUCUAGCUGCUAAGCACAGCACACCAGAGUAGAGAAAUUAUGCUUCAACAGUGAAAAAUUCUGCCAACAUAAACGUAAGACACACUGACCCCCGGCGGGGACCCACGUUAGGGUCAAUCUAGCCAACUAGUUACUAUACAGCCAGCGAGCGAGCGAGAGAGAAAUAGAGCGAGUCUGUAGAGAAGUAUCAGCCUGACCAAUUCGGAAAUUCGGACUGCGAAUCCUGCAUUGAUCUCAACACGUCACACAACUCACAGCAGCACCAUGAGGUCCAUCAACGAGUUUAGAGCAUCUUCGUCGACACUUUCGGGUGCACCGAGUUUGACCAUGAGCAAGCCGAGCCUGAACAACAGCAAGGCCAGCCUCACGCACAGCAAGCAGAGCCUGAACGUUUCGAACGGUGAGGAGCGACCACCGACGCGCGAAGAGCUCAUCGCGGAGUUUCUGGACAAAGCAAAGUUCUACACGUCGCUCUGCCUAGGUACGACCGCAAUUUUGUCCGUGUUUGCGUUUCUCUUCCUAAUACCGUUCGUGGUGGAUCCCGCCAUCUCGACGAUCGUGGCGGACUACGAUCCCAUACCGGUGACGUGCGUAGUGACGGAUCACGUGUACGCGGAAGGGAUGCGCAACUGUACCUGGAGCUCGUGUCGCGAGGGCUGCACUACCGCCGCUAUCCGGUGCCACCAGCUGCUGGUGAACUACACCAAGAUCGCGUUUCACGAGUGGCACAAGAACCCGCGCGAUCUGGACAGCAUCGAGUGGGACGUUAUGGACACCAAGUUUCUGGUGAACACCGAGGGCUGCGGCUAUCCACCGCGGGUGAACUGUUCCGAGUUUGCGAAACAGUACGGUUACUCGCACAUCGGAGAUCCGUUCCCGUGCUACUACAGCCGAGCCUAUCCGGAGAUGGUGGUCGCACGCUACUCCUGGGAUGACAAUCUGAAGCACCUGAUACUGUCCCUGAUCAUCCCGAACGUGCUGUUCGCGGUGUCGAUCGGUGUGCUGAGCUACUGGUACUGUCCUUGCUGUGAUAAAGCCUGCCACAAGUCGUCUCGAGUCUACGCGGAGAAGUAUCCGACGAAAGAGAACAAACUUCUUUGCCGUAGUGACGAUGAGGAAGACGAACUAGACUACUGAAAAGACCAUUUACCACUUUUUCACCAAAACGCUGCAGCCGAUUUUUCUGUUUUGAAAGUACACACACUUUACCAACCCGUACUGUACCGAAGUUCUAACAACACACACACACACACCUCCCGUUUGUUCGUUACACAUCAAACACACGCGGUUACUGCUUAUGGUUUUUCCUCCUUGUGCUACUCGGAGUUCCGGUUUGGCUUCGUACCACUGUUACUUUCGUUGAUGCAACCAUACUGCACCGCGAGGACACGAGAGCCCUCGCGAGCACACACACAACCACAUCCACACAAACACACAAGUCUAACGCUCACCGUCACCGUGCAAACGUAUCGGAAAUGCAUCGGCAAGCAAAACAAACCCCAGCAGGACAACGGAUCCAUUUUAAGCUAGAAAGAGUCAUGGAACAUUGAAUAUCCGCAAGAGUACAUCGAUAAAAUGUAAUCGGCCAGCUCCCGACCAAUAACUCAUCUGCCGGUGAAGGACAUGUGGAUCCAAAUCCAUUCAUCCUUCGUCACGAUAACAGCAAACAGCAGGAACCACAGAAGCGCCCCGUAAGCGCGAGGAUCAGCGAAUCAGCAUCGCCCCAGAGCUUCAUUAACAUUGUGCUCCACGCUGCCAGCUACUACUACGGCAAAAUGGGGACCGAAUUCGGUUUUGGGACGGUUAGAUAUCGGGAACUGUUUCUCGUUACCUGGUGCGGUACGAUGCGGGAAGGUUACGAAAUUGAAAAUCUUGUUGCGGACUAUUUUCCGCGAUGAAUGUUUGCCUAUGUUCUGUUACACUGCGAACGGGGACCGCACGUCACUCCAUCCUUUCCUGUUAUUGUUAUUGACAUUCAGCUUUUGUCAACGCUUUCGCCUUUACCUAGCCGCCAACAAUCAUGGUGGCCGGAACAAGGUCGUGGUGAAACUAAAGCUAAUUUCAAAAUCGUUGUAACGGCUUUAAAUUCAAAGAUCGAUCGUGAAAAUUAAGAAUAAAAAAGUAAUAAUUAGCAACAAAGAAACGUAAAUCACGAGCAUCGGCAAUAUAAGCGAACAUUUGCACGAUGAUGCAACCCCGUGAGUUGGAAAUGCUUUAUCGAUCAAGUCUUUGAUAUGGAAUCUAGCACAUCUUAAACUUUGUACAUUUUUGAAUAAACCUAAUAUAUUUAUGAAAUAUAGAGCAAUGCUUAAAAGAC